UACGGGGGGGGCAAGCGUUGUCCGGAUUUACUGGGCGUAAAGAGCGCGCAGGCGGUCGUUCAAGUCGCGUGUGAAAGCCCCCCGGCUCAACUGGGGAGGGUCACGCGAUACUGAUCGACUCGAAGGCAGGAGAGGGUAGUGGAAUUCCCGGUGUAGUGGUGAAAUGCGUAGAUAUCGGGAGGAACACCAGUGGCGAAGGCGACUACCUGGCCUGUUCUUGACGCUGAGGCGCGAAAGCUAGGGGAGCAAACGGG
rnacentral:rRNA from 1 species